AUUCCAGCAAUCAGACGGGCAGGUUCAAUUUGCCGUUUGUGCAGUGUUUGUCCCCCAGCGCAUUGAAAUCAAACUAAAUUCUAAAUCGGCGAAAAUUCGUGUCUAAUCCAUUUUACAAAAGAGAAUAUAAACCCUAUUUGCUACCCUUCCUCGUCCAUAAACCAACAAAAUUACAAGCAAUAUAUCGCUCGUGUUUCAAAAGUGUUCAAAUUAUACAAUUGUGUCAUCGAACGACCACCAUUGACCACCCCCAGUGACCAAAAAAUCAAGUGCUUCGAACGAAAAUUGUGCAUGCGGUUGUGACGGCGACAACGACUACGACUACCGAUCACAGUUAAUAGUCCAGAAGGAAAAGGAGCCCAUACAGUGCCAGCGCACUGAGGCAGAGCAGAAAUACAAACAAAA